AGGGGAAACCAGGCUACAAAGGAGAGAAGGGUGAAAGAGGAGAAUGUGGCACUCCAGGAAUCAAAGGAGACCGGGGUCCUGAAGGUCCAGUUGGUACUCAAGGGUCCAGAG